UGAGAAUCUCCGGGAAGAUGAUGGCGACUUCGAAGAUAGAAUUGUCGGCGUUAUUUCAAUUAACCCCUAAUCAAUUUACGAAGGCUAAAAUCCUGUUAAGACCAAACAAAAAUAACCUCAUUUGCAUUCGGAGAGAGAAUUUUCAUUUUUUUCAACUACAACCCAAAUUGAUUUAGAGCAAAAUCCAAGGCAGAACACAUUAAAAGAAGACUUUGACAGAAAUUUUAAUUUGAAAAAAAUUAAUUUUGAAAGCGAAUUUGAUUUUUCAGUCUGA
rnacentral:lncRNA from 1 species